rnacentral:rRNA from 1 species
AUGGCUGCAACAGAACACUCCAAACAAUCCACAUUAGACAAAGCAGCUCCGACUCUGACGAUGAACCACAAAGAAACGAGGCAAGGUUGGCAUCACGGGGAUCACCGAACGAGCCACCUAACCCACGUCAUCGUAUACCAGCGGCCCCCUACCGCGGCUUCGACUUCACAGCACCAGGCAGUCGAGGCAUUCCCACGGACACGCCGGAGAAGAGCCGACUACCACGACCAAAGCCGCGCCUCCGACGUUGCUCACCACCGUCAUCGUUGCCACCGAAGCCACCGUGCACGUCCAGUCGUAGGAAGCACCAAAGGGAUCAAAUUCUUCAAGACGGCGCCCUAA